CCUCUGAUUCUUGUUUCUCAUUUUAUGCAUGAAGGUGAGAGGAUUAUGAUCAGUAUAAACAAGAAUAGGAUAUACAGUGGGAUUCAAAUAUACAUCAAAAUGUUGAAGUGCUGACAACAUUGCAAAACACUCUUUUUCAAUAGUUGAAUAAUUUUUCUGAUGUUUAUUUAAUUUCUUAGAAAAAUAUGAUAUAGGUUUUUCAACAUUAUCAUCUGUCUCUUGAUAUAAAACAGCUCCUAUUCCUACAUCGCUUGCAUCAACGGCAAGUUUAAAUUGUUUUUCAAAGUCUGGAGUAAUCAGAACUGGACUAUUAAUUAAAAGUGAUUUGCUAUUUUCAAAAGCUUUUUGACAAUUUCCGCUCCAGAUAAAUUUAGAAUAUUUCCGUAAAAGAUGAGUCAAUGGUUGAACAACAGUAGCAAAAUUUGAACAAAAUUUUCUGUAAAAUCCAAUCAUGCCUAAAUAUCUCAUAAGUUGUUUUCUAUUUGUAGGAGGUGGAAAUUUGGAAAUAGCUUCCACUUUAGCCAUAAUAGGUUUUACUUGACCUUGGCCAACUGUAUGCCCUAAAUAAUCAACAGUGGCCUGACAAAAUUCACUUUUACCAAGAUUAACAGUCAAAUUUGAUUUUGACAAUCUAUCAAAGGUAUCAUAUAAAUGUGUUAAAUGCUGUUCCCAGCUAUCACUACAUACAAUAAGA
rnacentral:lncRNA from 1 species